UGGAAGUCGAAAUCCGCUAAGGAGUGUGUAACAACUCACCUGCCGAAGUCAGCAGCCCUGAAAAUGGAUGGCGCUCAAACGUACUUCCGAAACUCAACCGUCAAAGUAAAUGCGAAGCUUUGGCGAGUAGGAGGGCGUGGUGAUUGCACCGAAGCUGUGGGCGUAAGCUCCAGUCGAGCAGUCACUAGUGCAGAUCUUGGUGUUAGUAGCAAAUAUUCAAAUGAAAUCUUUGAAGACCGAAGUGGAGAAAGGUUUCACGUGAAGUUUAUUGCGACGUGAGUGAACCGGCCCUAAGGUACUCCGUAUGGGAAUGAAAGGGCGCAAUUUAUUGCGCCGUCAGCCAAAAGGGAAACCGCUUAAGAUUUCGGUGUCGGCACACGGUAUUAGGCGGUAACGCAUUUGAACCAGGUGACAGUGGCCGAGGCUCCAGAAAGAGUUUUCUUUUCUUUUUAACAUUACCACAGUCCCUGAAAUCGGAUUAACCGGAGAAGGGGAGUGUGGUGUGGCAAAGCAAUUGACCUUUUCAAUUGUCUGGUGCGCUUCGGACGCUCCUUGAAAAGCCUGGGGAGUGUUUAUACUUCGUGCUGUCCGUACUCAUAACCGCAUCAGGUCUCCAAGGUUAACAGCCUCUGGUCGAUAGAACAAUGUAGGUAAGGGAAGUCGGCAAAUUAGGUCCGUAACUUCGGGAAAAGGACUGGCUCUUAGGGCUGGGCGUCUGAGGCUCUGUCGCAAAACCCAAUUGAUGAGGGGCACUGGCUAGCUCUCACGGGCCGGCUGGAGCCUCCUCGUCGAGCGGGCGGCGCGUCGAGUUCCGUAAGGUAUCUCUGCGUAUUGAACAGCCAACUGAGAACUGGCGCGGACAAGGGGAAUCCGACUGUUUAAUUAAAACAAAGCAUUGCGACGGUUGGAAACAAUGUUGACGCAAUGUGAUUUCUGCCCAGUGCUCUGAAUGUCAAUGUGAUGUAAUUCAAUCAAGCGCGGGUAAACGGCGGGAGUAACUAUGACUCUCUUAAGGUAGCCAAAUGCCUCGUCAUCUGAUUAGUGACGCGCAUGAAUGGAUCAACGAGAUUCCCACUGUCCCUACUUACUAUCUAGCGAAACCACAGCCAAGGGAACGGGCUUGGGCGUAACGGCGGGGAAAGAAAACCCUGUUGAGCUUGACCCUAGUCUGCUGGCUCCUAUACACAUCUGACGCUGCCCACGAAGGCCUAGGUGUGUAACUCGGCGGUCGCCGGCCUAUUAAAAAACAAAACAGAAAGUAGCUAUCAUAGCACGCACCGCCGCGGUU
rnacentral:rRNA from 1 species